GAUGAACGCUGGCGGCGUGCCUAAUACAUGCAAGUCGAGCGAAUGGAUUAAGAGCUUGCUCUUAUGAAGUUAGCGGCGGACGGGUGAGUAACACGUGGGUAACCUGCCCAUAAGACUGGGAUAACUCCGGGAAACCGGGGCUAAUACCGGAUAACAUUUUGAACCGCAUGGUUCGAAAUUGAAAGGCGGCUUCGGCUGUCACUUAUGGAUGGACCCGCGUUGCAUUAGCUAGUUGGUGAGGUAACGGCUCACCAAGGCAACGAUGCGUGGCCGACCUGAGAGGGUGAUUGGCCACACUGGGACUGAGACACGGCCCAGACUCCUACGGGAGGCAGCAGUAGGGAAUCUUCCGCAAUGGACGAAAGUCUGACGGAGCAACGCCGCGUGAGUGAUGAAGGCUUUCGGGUCGUAAAACUCUGUUGUUAGGGAAGAACAAGUGCUAGUUGAAUAAGCUGGCACCUUGACGGUACCUAACCAGAAAGCCACGGCUAACUACGUGCCAGCCGCCGCGGUAA
rnacentral:rRNA from 1 species